rnacentral:rRNA from 1 species
UACGUAGGGGGCAAGCGUUGUCCGGAAUCAUUGGGCGUAAAGCGCGCGUAGGCGGCCCGGUAAGUCCGUUGUGAAAGUCAAAGGCUCAACCUUUGAACGCCGAUGGAUACUGCCGGGCUAGAGUCCGGAAGAGGCGAGUGGAAUUCCUGGUGUAGCGGUGGAAUGCGUAGAGAUCCGGAAGAACACCGGUGGCGAAGGCGGCCUGCUGGGACAUUGCUGACGCUGAGGCGCGACAGCGUGGGGAGCAAACAGG